GCGAGUAGACGGAAGUAUUCUGGCAAAACUGUCCAAAUCAUAGAGACUAAACUGAUUAAUAAUUUACCCUCCCCCCCACCUACUUCACAAAGAACAAAGUAGCAAAUUUUGACUGAAAAUGCUCUGUGCAACUCAAAAAAGACAGAAAGAAAGCUAGAUAGAGGUGAAACGGUUAUGGGUGAGUUUGCCUGAGAAAUAUCCUGUGGAAACCUUAUCAAAGUAGAGCCUGGCCUCUUAGAGGUACGUGAUGUUUCUUUCAGGUCCAGAGAACAAAAUCCCUCCUACAUGGAUUAGUAGCAUUUGGCCAAGUUGAGGCUGGAAGGAGCCUUCCUGGGCUGUCAGCUGAGUAUAUUCGGGCACCUUCGUGGUUCUGUCAUUUGAGAGCCUGGCUGCCUAGGAGAGGUUCAGGUGUUCCUCAGCUUUCGUAGUUCCCUUCCUGAGAUUCAGGUGUGGAAGAAAGCAAGUGAAUUGCUUCUUAUGAAGACCCAGAGCCUCCUUGUUUCUAGCCCAGCAGCCCUGGCAGAGACUCCUGUCGUAGAGUCCUCUGGUGGCCACACUUUUCCAGGAAACACUGAUGUGGAAAUUUGGCUGUUGGAUGUCUGGGGGAAAGGGAGCGUGAAUCAGACCACCCAGGGGACAAGCAGAAUGAUCAGCUAGGACAGCUGUGGGUGUGUCAGUCACAGUUCGUGGCAUGUGUGUUGCCUAAGGUGCUUUCAGACAAGUACCCGUCUGUGUGAGUAGUACCCCUAGAGGGGCUUACGUUUGUUAAGCACCUGUUAGGCACCAGGCAUGGUCCAUACAGUGUCACCAAUUCCCCAGACAGCCCUGGGAAGGGGGAGGCACUAUCCCCAUUUUACAGGCAGGCAAACUGAAUGUGAGACAGGUGAAGGCAGUUGGCCAGGGAGUAAUGCUUGCGUAGCUGGUUAGCAGCUCAGCUGGCUGAAUGCUACCCUCUGUGCCUGUGUCUCUUUUAAACCCAGCUGUACCAGAAGGCAAGUAAAGAAAGGGUCUGGAUCCCCGUGGGAAAGGGCCAGUGCAGCUCCCGAGGUCCACCUGCCAGUGACCACAUCCAUAAGGGAGGCAGGGACGCUGGGGCUCCAAUGAGGGCAGCUGCUCCUUCCUACCUGGAGCAUCUCUCCUGCGAAGCCUGGAGUUUGAUUUCGCUCAGAGCCCGCUGCUUUUCCCACAGGUGGAGACAGGAGUGGGCCUGAGCCCCGCGACUCUUUUCAGGGCCAAAGCAGACGCAUCUUCCACAGGGAGGAUCAUAGAUCAGGCCCUUUUGUCUGUGGGAACCUCUUCCCUGAGCAGGCUGGACCUCGAGGCUGAGGCUGGGGAGGGAUGGAGGAGAUGCAGGUAGGGUCCCUUGGAAUGGGGUGACUCCCCAGAGACAGGCUGGGUUAGGGGAGAAUGCAGAACUCCUGAGGGGGUUGCCGGCGGUGGGCUGGCCAGCAUAUGGCACUGGAGGAGUGCCAGCCAGGUGUUAGUGCAGAAGCCAGGAGGCCAGAGAAGGGCCCACUUACUAGAGCUGGGAAGCCUCUGCUAGUGGGUGCCUGGCACUGAGCUUGCUGGGGGCAUGGAGUUCAGAAGGCCAGGGGAGCUGUCGCAGAUACAAGUACAGACAGGAGGGGCUACACCAGACUCCUGCGGCAGGAAUGGGAUGGUGGGUGUACAACUGAGAAUGGCACUGCCAGCAUAACCCCCACCCCAGUGCACCGUUUGCUCUCUGGCGGAAAGAGUGAUGUCAGGAAACCCCAUCUUGGCAAGAGUGUGCUAAAGAUUGAGGGCAGUGUGUGCAAAAUGCACACGCCCCAAGGAUUUCCUCCUU